rfam:Ferroglobus placidus DSM 10642, complete genome.
GGGCUCGUAGCUCAGCCAGGUAGAGCGACGGGCUUUUAACCCGUCGGUCGCGGGUUCAAAUCCCGUCGAGCCCG